rnacentral:rRNA from 1 species
AGUGAGCGCUGGCGGCAGGCCUAACACAUGCAAGUCGAACGGCAGCACAAGAGAGCUUGCUCUCUGGGUGGCGAGUGGCGGACGGGUGAGGAAUGCAUCGGAAUCUGCCCAUUUGUGGGGGAUAACCUCGGGAAACCGGGACUAAUACCGCAUACGACCUACGGGUGAAAGCAGGGGAUCUUCGGACCUUGCGCAGAUGGAUGAGCCGAUGCCGGAUUAGCUAGUUGGAGGGGUAAAGGCCCACCAAGGCGACGAUCCGUAGCUGGUCUGAGAGGAUGAUCCGCCACACUGGGACUGAGACACGGCCCAGACUCCUACGGGAGGCAGCAGUGGGGAAUAUUGGACAAUGGGCGCAAGCCUGAUCCAGCCAUGCCGCGUGUGUGAAGAAGGCCUUCGGGUUGUAAAGCACUUUUGUUGGGAAAGAAAAGCAGCCGGUUAAUACCCGGUUGUCAUGACGGUACCCAAAGAAUAAGCACCGGCUAACUUCGUG